rnacentral:rRNA from 1 species
UACAGAGGUCUCAAGCGUUGUUCGGAUUCAUUGGGCGUAAAGGGCGCGUAGGCGGCUUUGCAAGUGACGGGUGAAAGCCCUCGGCUUAACCGAGGAACUGCCUGUCAGACUGUAAGGCUUGAGACCGGGAGAGGUGAGUGGAAUUCCCAGUGUAGCGGUGAAAUGCGUAGAUAUUGGGAGGAACACCAGUGGCGAAGGCGGCUCACUGGACCGGAACUGACGCUGAGGCGCGAAAGCGUGGGGAGCAAACAGG